rnacentral:piRNA from 1 species
UAGUUUUUGAAAGAAAUGCUG